GACGAACGCUGGCGGCGUGCUUAACACAUGCAAGUCGAACGGAAAGGCCCUGCUUUUGUGGGGUGCUCGAGUGGCGAACGGGUGAGUAACACGUGAGUAACCUGCCCUUGACUUUGGGAUAACUUCAGGAAACUGGGGCUAAUACCGGAUAGGAGCUCCUGCUGCAUGGUGGGGGUUGGAAAGUUUCGGCGGUUGGGGAUGGACUCGCGGCUUAUCAGCUUGUUGGUGGGGUAGUGGCUUACCAAGGCUUUGACGGGUAGCCGGCCUGAGAGGGUGACCGGCCACAUUGGGACUGAGAUACGGCCCAGACUCCUACGGGAGGCAGCAGUGGGGAAUAUUGCACAAUGGGCGGAAGCCUGAUGCAGCAACGCCGCGUGCGGGAUGACGGCCUUCGGGUUGAAAACCGCUUUCGCCUGUGACGAAGCGUGAGUGACGGUAAUGGGGAAAGAAGCACCGGCUAACUACGU
rnacentral:rRNA from 1 species